UAGAGUUUGAUUAUGGCUCAGGACGAACGCUGGCGGCGUGCCUAACACAUGCAAGUCGAACGAAGCUUGACGAAUGAUUUCUUCGGAAUGAAAUCUGAUAUGACUGAGUGGCGGACGGGUGAGUAACGCGUGAGCAACCUGCCCUUCGGAGGGGGAUAGUGUCUGGAAACGGACAGUAAUACCGCAUAACGUAUUUUUACCGCAUGAUAGAAAUACCAAAACUGAGGUGCCGAAGGAUGGGCUCGCGUUGGAUUAGAUAGUUGGUGGGGUAACGGCCUACCAAGUCGACGAUCCAUAGCCGGACUGAGAGGUUGAACGGCCACAUUGGGACUGAGACACGGCCCAGACUCCUACGGGAGGCAGCAGUGGGGAAUAUUGCACAAUGGGGGAAACCCUGAUGCAGCAACGCCGCGUGAAGGAAGACGGUUUUCGGAUUGUAAACUUCUGUUCUUAGUGAAGAAGAAUGACGGUAGCUAAGGAGCAAGCCACGGCUAACUACGUGCCAGCAGCCGCGGUAAUACGUAGGUGGCAAGCGUUGUCCGGAAUUACUGGGUGUAAAGGGAGCGCAGGCGGGAAGCCAAGUCAGCUGUGAAAACUACGGGCUUAACUUGUAGACUGCAGUUGAAACUGGUUUUCUUGAGUGAAGUAAAAGUUGGCGGAAAUCCCAGUGUAACGGUGAAAUGCGUUAAAAUUCGGAAGAAAACCGGUGGCGAAAGGCGGCCCCUGGGGCUUUACUGACCCCUGAGG
rnacentral:rRNA from 1 species